GAGGCGCCUGCCGACCACCCCGGCUUCCCUCUUCACAAGUCUGGCUUUUGUCACCAACGUUGCAGACUCUGGAACCCGACGGGUUCCCAGGUGGCGCUGUGAUCGAAGAGGAAGGGCCGAGGGGAAGCCUUUGAGAGCCACUGAUAUCUUCAUGAAGACCGCAUCCAGCAGCGCACCAUUCUCACGUGCUGGUGACAAGCGACCACGCGCGUCGGGAAUCCAUUCAUGGGGAUGCCCGCGUGGACCUGAGGGUUCUCCGGGCCCUUCCGAUUCCUGAGCCCAGCCUUGUUACAAGGUGUCCCGCCAGGUACAAAGGGGAAACGGCAACGUUACAGGCGGAGACGUGGCAGACACCACCCUAACAAGCUACCGGGCCCGCAUCACAGGGGCUCCGCCGGCGCUGCUCCCCGUGGCCCACAGGGCAGUCGCUGCUGUGGUAUCCGGGCAAAAACGGGUGCAGCAGACAAACCCAAAGGGAGGGCAGCCUGCAAAGCAGCUGACCGGUGUCGUCAACAGUGUCAAGGACACGAAGGACAAAGAGAAGACAGAGGACCCAUCCUCCCGAGGGGUUAAGGAGGUGUGAUCAUAAAUGUCAUUUGUGAUCUUGGAUUGAAUCCUGGUCCAGAAAAAGAGCAAUCUGAGGGAACUAGGUCCUCAGAGUCCUCUGUAAAAGUGAAAUGGCAGAGCAAGAACAAGCGGCAGUGGCCCAUAGACUGUGCACUCGUGCCUGGCGUUAGGAGGACCAUCUCCUGCCAUAGGAAAUUGGAAAUUUCCUUAUCUUCUGAUCUUCCAGCUGAGGACAUGGGGCUCUGAGGGCUCCAGGCCUUGCCCGGUCACGCAGCCGGGUGAGAUUGAUGACUCGGGAGCAAACUGUUGAAACAACUAACUCACCGUGAACCUGAAAAGACUUCCUUUCCUGGUGUCUCCAAUCUUCCUCUGCCACUCUGCCCUUCCCUUUUAGAGGAGUGUAAAACACAGUAAAAAAG
rnacentral:lncRNA from 1 species